rnacentral:rRNA from 1 species
UCAAUGGAGAGUUUGAUCCUGGCUCAGGACGAACGCUGGCGGCGUGCUUUAUACAUGCAAGUCGAACGAUGAAGUUCCUUCGGGAAUGGAUUAGUGGCGAACGGGUGAGGAACACGUGAGAAACCUGCCUUUCAUUCUGGGAUAACACCGGGAAACCGGUGCUAAUACCGGAUACUCCAUCUUGGCGGCAUCGCCGAGCUGGGAAAAAAUUUUGAUGAAAGAUGGUCUCGCGGCCUAUCAGCUAGUUGGUGAGGUAAAGGCUCACCAAGGCGACGACGGGUAGCCGGCCUGAGAGGGCGACCGGCCACACUGGGACUGAGACACGGCCCAGACUCCUACGGGAGGCAGCAGUAGGGAAUAUUGGGCAAUGGGCGAAAGCCUGACCCAGCGACGCCGCGUGAGGGAUGAAGGUCUUCGGAUUGUAAACCUCUUUCAGCAGGGACGAAGCGAAAGUGACGGUACCUGCAGAAGAAGCACCGGCUAACUAUGUGCCAGCAGCCGCGGUAAUACAUAGGGUGCAAGCGUUGUCCGGAAUUAUUGGGCGUAAAGAGCUCGUAGGUCGUUUGUCGCGUCGAUUGUGAAAAUCUGAGGCUCAACCUCAGACCUGCAGUCGAUACGGGCAAACUAGAGUGUGGUAGGGGAGACUGGAAUUCCUGGUGUAGCGGUGGAAUGCGCAGAU